rnacentral:rRNA from 1 species
CCUACGGGAGGCAGCAGUAGGGAAUCUUCCGCAAUGGACGAAAGUCUGACGGAGCAACGCCGCGUGAACGAUGAAGGCCUUCGGGUCGUAAAGUUCUGUUGUUAGGGAAGAACAAGUGCUAGUUAAAUAAGCUGGCACCUUGACGGUACCUAACCAGAAAGCCACGGCUAACUACGUGCCAGCAGCCGCGGUAAUACGUAGGUGGCAAGCGUUGUCCGGAAUUAUUGGGCGUAAAGCGCGCGCAGGCGGUUUCUUAAGUCUGAUGUGAAAGCCCCCGGCUCAACCGGGGAGGGUCAUUGGAAACUGGGAAACUUGAGUGCAGAAGAGGAAAGUGGAAUUCCAAGUGUAGCGGUGAAAUGCGUAGAGAUUUGGAGGAACACCAGUGGCGAAGGCGACUUUCUGGUCUGUAACUGACGCUGAGGCGCGAAAGCGUGGGGAGCAAACAGGAUUAGAUACCCUGGUAGUCCACGCUGUAAACGAUAGAGUGNUAGUAGUUAGUAGGUUACCGGUCCGUUACGUGUCUGUAGUUAACGUACAUAAGUACACUCCGCCGUCGGGUAGGUACGGUACGGCGAACGACGUACGUAACGUACAACGUAGAAGUUAGUACGGCGUGAGACGUACGCCGACGGACGACGACGAGGGAGGUAGG